rnacentral:rRNA from 1 species
CCCGCUCAAAGUAAACUUAAGUAGUAAUGGACGGGGCCCGCACAAGCGGUGGAGUAUGUGGUUUAAUUCGAUGCAACGCGAAGAACCUUACCUGGUCUUGACAUCCCGGAGACCCUUAGGAAACUAGGGGGUGCUUCCAUCUGGAAGAAUCUGGAGACAGGUGCUGCAUGGCUGUCGUCAGCUCGUGUCGUGAGAUGUUGGGUUAAGUCCCGCAACGAGCGCAACCCUUGCCUUUAGUUGCCAGCAGUUCGGCUGGGCACUCUAAAGGGACUGCCGGUGUUAAACCGGAGGAAGGUGGGGAUGACGUCAAGUCCUCAUGGCCUUUAUGACCAGGGCUACACACGUACUACAAUGGCCGAUACAAAGGGCAGCGACACUGCGAGGUGAAGCCAAUCCCGUAAAAUCGGUCUCAGUCCGGAUUGGAGUCUGCAACUCGACUCCAUGAAGUUGGAAUCGCUAGUAAUCGUGGAUCAGCAUGCCACGGUGAAUACGUUCCCGGGCCUU